rnacentral:piRNA from 1 species
UUUUUUUUAAGUUUUAAAACA